UCAAAGUUAAAAAAAUAACAGGAUUAAUCCCUGACAAGCUAUGAUAGCAUUAUAGGAACAGUUGCGCUCACUAACAUUGUAGCAUUCCAUAAAAUAAUGUGACGAAGCCUGAUACAAGACGGCUAGUCCACCCCUGUUUGUAAUCUGUGAGGUUACAUACUCCUCCUACUUUGUCUAAUCGACAAGCGCCCCUUUCAACCACGUGAUGCUGCUC